GACGGAGGAUGCAAGUGUUAUCCGGAAUCACUGGGCGUAAAGCGUCUGUAGGUGGUUCGAAAAGUCCACUGUUAAAAAUUGAGGCUUAACUUCAAAGAUGCCGUGGAAACUUUCAAACUAGAGUAUGGUAGGGGUAGAGGGAAUUUCCAGUGGAGCGGUGAAAUGCGUAGAUAUUGGAAAGACCACCGAUGGCGAAGGCACUCUCACUGGGCCAUUACUGACACUGAGAGACGAAAGCUAGGGGAGCAAAUGGG
rnacentral:rRNA from 1 species